UGAAAGUGGGUUUGCAUGGUUAUUAGG
rnacentral:sRNA from 1 species